UACGGGGGGUGCGAGCGUUGUCCGGAAUCACUGGGCGUAAAGGGCGCGUAGGUGGCGUGAUAAGGGUGUGGUGAAAGCCCGGGGCUCAACCCCGGGUCUGCCAUGCCGACUGUCAGGCUGGAGUACUGUAGGGGCAGGCGGAAUUCCGGGUGUAGCGGUGGAAUGCGUAGAGAUCCGGAGGAACACCGGUGGCGAAGGCGGCAUCCUGGACCGACACUGACGCUGAGGAGCGAAAGCCAGGGGAGCAAACGGG
rnacentral:rRNA from 1 species